rnacentral:rRNA from 1 species
UACGAAGGGGGCGAGCGUUGUUCGGAUUUACUGGGCGUAAAGCGUGCGCAGGCGGUGAGCUGUGUCCGAUGUGAAAGCCCCGGGCUUAACCUGGGAAUGGCAUUGGAAACUGGCUCGCUGGAGUGUGGCAGAGGGGGGUGGAAUUCCGCGUGUAGCAGUGAAAUGCGUAGAGAUGCGGAGGAACACCGAUGGCGAAGGCAGCCCCCUGGGCUAACACUGACGCUCAGGCACGAAAGCGUGGGGAGCAAACAGG